AUGUUGGAUGAUGAAAAAAAUCAGACGGAUUCCCAAUGAUGUCCAAAAGAUGAUAUCAGAAACCAGCUACUUCUGACACAU
rfam:Musa acuminata subsp. malaccensis Doubled-haploid Pahang (DH-Pahang) genomic chromosome, chr2